rnacentral:tRNA from 1 species
GUCCGAUUAGCUCAGUUGGUAGAGCAUCUGACUUUCAAGCAUAAGGUCGCAGGUUCGAGUCCUGUAUCGGGCU